GACGAACGCUGGCGGCGGGCUUAACACAUGCAAGUCGAACGGAAAGGCCCUGCUUUUGUGGGGUGCUCGAGUGGCGAACGGGUGAGUAACACGUGAGUAACCUGCCCUUGACUUUGGGAUAACUUCAGGAAACUGGGGCUAAUACCGGAUAGGAGCUCCUGCUGCAUGGUGGGGGUUGGACAGUUUCGGCGGUUGGGGAUGGACUCGCGGCUUAUCAGCUUGUUGGUGGGGUAGUGGCUUACCAAGGCUUUGACGGGUAGCCGGCCUGAGAGGGUGACCGGCCACAUUGGGACUGAGAUACGGCCCAGACUCCUACGGGAGGCAGCAGUGGGGAAUAUUGCACAAUGGGCGGAAGCCUGAUGCAGCAACGCCGCGUGCGGGAUGACGGCCUUCGGGUUGUAAACCGCUUUCGCCUGUGACGAAGCGUGAGUGACGGUAAUGGGUAAAGAAGCACCGGCUAACUACGUG
rnacentral:rRNA from 1 species